rfam:Anas platyrhynchos breed Pekin duck contig43099, whole genome shotgun sequence.
CAAAAGGCUUUUCUUCAGAGGCAAAGCCAUCCCCAUGUACUAGCGAUUUUUCU